GUGCUCGCUUCGGCAGCACAUAUACUAAAAUUGGAACGAUACAGAGAAGAUUAGCAUGGCCCCUGCGCAAGGAUCAUUAAUAUGUCCACAAAAUUUCCCUCCUGCUA